GGAUCCUACGGGAGGCAGCAUUAGGGAAUCUUCCACAAUGGACGAAAGUCUGAUGGAGCAACGCCGCGUGUGUGAUGAAGGGUUUCGGCUCGUAAAACACUGUUGUAAGAGAAAAAUAGCAUCUAGAGUAACUGCUAGGUGUCUGACGGUAUCUUACCAGAAAGGAACGGCUAAAUACGUGCCAGCAGCCGCGGUAAA
rnacentral:rRNA from 1 species